UGAGCAUCAGUGAUGAUCUAAUCCUUUGUUAUCCUUGCACUUUGAUUGUCAGUGAAGAUAAAUUAUGGGAAAAAGUUCACUCUGAGAUGCUC